AGCCCGGUCGUCUAGCGGCCAAACCCUGGCCAGAUGUGGGGCUAAGGAUCCCGGGCUCUGGCCCCGGGGACGCCGGUUCGAAUCCGGCCCGGGCUA
rnacentral:tRNA from 1 species